AACGAACGCUGGCGGCGUGCUUAACACAUGCAAGUCGUACGAGAAAGUUUCCUUCGGGAGACGAGUAGAGUGGCGCACGGGUGAGUAACACGUGGAUAAUCUGCCCAAUGGACUGGGAUAACACUUCGAAAGGGGUGCUAAUACCGGAUAAGCCCACAGGCUCUUCGGAGCUUGCGGGAAAAGGUGGGGACCUUCGGGCCUACUGUCAUUGGAUGAGUCCGCGGCCCAUUAGCUAGUUGGUGGGGUAAUGGCCCACCAAGGCGACGAUGGGUAGCUGGUCUGAGAGGAUGAUCAGCCACACUGGAACUGAGACACGGUCCAGACUCCUACGGGAGGCAGCAGUGGGGAAUUUUGCGCAAUGGGGGAAACCCUGACGCAGCAACGCCGCGUGAGUGAUGAAGGCUUUCGGGUCGUAAAGCUCUGUCAGAGGGGAAGAAACACUCAGGGGAUAAUACCCUUUGGGCUUGACGGUACCCUCAAAGGAAGCACCGGCUAACUCCGUG
rnacentral:rRNA from 1 species